CGCCAAUUUUAAAGUUUAAUUACACAAAGUCGGAAUGUUACCGGCGUGACCACCGGGUGUCAGUGUUGUUCUUCCCCAGAGAGAACUCCUCCCAUCCCCCCACACAGACGCGUCAUCUCAGCUGAACUCCUGGCUCUCACUGCAUGGAUACUUGACGCGGGAGUUUACCUCAGGAUUCAUGAACAGUUUUUCAUCGACUUAUUUCUGAUUUAUUUGAAGGAAAAGACCCUGAUGGAUAAAAGAUGGAUAUUUUUUCCUGGAGAAGCUAAAACAAUGUAACUUUGAGGUUCUGAUACCAGCUUUUACAAAGUUAUUUACAGAGUUCACCAGACUUCUCUGUGUUAUUUCCUGACCAUGCCGAAAAGCUAUUUGAAACUUGGGCAUUGCAUUUUCCAGACAGAAUCCUGCACUUCCCAGCCAAGAACCAGGAGCAUCAACAAAUCACCUCCAG